GCAAGUGUAUGGCUCAACCUCAUUGCUGCAUUUCACUGCCCAGGUUGCUGUGUGAAAUAGCACUUAAUAACUGGGAGAUUGGCUCCCAUUCUAAAGUGGAAACUGGUUCCUUGGUAGCAAGCACAUUAUCAUCAGUAAUACCUCUGCAGAAUGUACUUAUUAAGGAGAUUGAGUUUUUUUUG